rnacentral:rRNA from 1 species
GAUCAUGGCUUAGGAUGAACGCUAGCUACAGGCUUAACACAUGCAAGUCGAGGGGCAGCAUGGUCUUAGCUUGCUAAGGCCGAUGGCGACCGGCGCACGGGUGAGUAACGCGUAUCCAACCUGCCUUACACUCUUGGACAGCCUUCUGAAAGGGAGAUUAAUACAAGAUGUUAUCAUGGGUAAGCAUUUUCGCAUGAUUAAAGGUUUACCGGUGUAAGGUGGGGAUGCGUUCCAUUGGA